rnacentral:lncRNA from 1 species
GUAUUUAUAUCGCGUAAAAAUCAAGUAGGAAAAGAGUUUCAACGAAAACAAAAAACUGCAACGGAGGCCCCCGAAUUAUCACUAUGCGACCGCAUAGAAGGAUUCUAUGCGGUCGCAUAGACCAAUAAAUUUUCCCCCAACAUUUCCUGCAACCAUCUAUUCGACCGCAUAGAUGGUUACACUAUGCGGUCGCAUAGAUAUAACCAACUAUGUAGUCCUUACAUUUAGGUCCCUGAACUUUCUUGUUGCUUCUCUUUACUUCUUUCUUCAAUUUCUUCACCUUUUCAACAAAUGUUAUCCUCCAAUUGAUGAUUGACACCAUCGAAUCUCUUGCCACUCAUUCGGCUCAUCUUUUGAGUAUUUGCGCUUUAGUCCUCCAACUUUUAACUGUCUUCAUUUCAGUCCCUCUUCGAUUCUUUCUUCCUCCACUUGUUUUCCUUUGUCCUUGAGCUCAUACUCGGCAUGUUUUUACUCUCGUUUUGCAUUUAGCUCAACUUCUCAAUAUUUGCACCUUUGGUCCUCGAACUAUCAAUUUGUUGCGUUUUGGUCCUUCUUCGGCUCUUUUCUCCUGAAUUCCACAAUUUCCAUUGAAUUACCUACAAUGCAUGAAUUUAACUAGAUUAAGUCAC